GGCGUCAAGGACGAACGGCUGGCGGCGUGCUUCAUACAUGCAAGUCGAACGAUAAGGCGCCUUCGGGCGUACAUAGUGGCGGACGGGUGAGUAAUAUGUAGAGAAUCUGCCCUAGAGUGGGGGACAACCGUUGGAAACGACAGCUAAUACCCCAUAUGAGCGUAGUUGAGAUACUAUUCUUGAAAACUCCGGUGCUCUGGGAUGAGUCUGCAUCUGAUUAGCUAGUUGGGGGUGUAAUGGACCACCAAGGCGAUGAUCAGUAGCUGGUUUGAGAGGAUGAUCAGCCACAAUGGGACUGAGACACGGCCCAUACUCCUACGGGAGGCAGCAGUAGGGAAUUUUGCGCAAUGGGGGAAACCCUGAACCGCAGCAACGCCGCGUGACCGAUGAAGCCCUUCGGGGUGUAAAGGUCUGUCAGUGGGGACGAAAGAUGACGGUACCCACAGAGGAAGCACCGGCUAACUCCGUGCCAGCCGCGGC
rnacentral:rRNA from 1 species